rnacentral:rRNA from 1 species
UACGGAGGAUGCGAGCGUUAUCCGGAUUUAUUGGGUUUAAAGGGUGCGCAGGCGGGAGAUUAAGUCGGCGGUGAAAUUUUGCAGCUCAACUGUAAAAGUGCCUUCGAAACUGGUUUCCUUGAGUGUAGAUGAAGUAGGCGGAAUUUGUGGUGUAGCGGUGAAAUGCUUAGAUAUCACGAGGAACUCCGAUUGCGCAGGCAGCUUACUAAACUACUACUGACGCUCAGGCACGAAGGCGUGGGGAUCAAACAGGAUUAGAUACCCGCGUA